CCACAGCUGUCAGCACACAGGGGCCGGCGGCCAGCCCUCCUGGGAACAAUCCUGGUUACGGAAUUCCUUGCGUAGGAGAAAAACAAUAACUUCCAGUUGAACAAGAGCUAAAAGAAGGGAAGAUGUGACGGCAGCUCCAUUGAACAAUUUCUCUAAGUACAGACAGGCACCGCUUUCCACCCUCUGGUCACGUUCCACCUCCCAUUCUCAGGAAUUCUCUGGUAGGUGCACCUUGUUCAGAUAAGAACUGCACAGCAUUUCUUCGUGGGCCCCUGCAAGCCAUCCUUUGCAAUGGCACAGCCUCUAAACUUGGAGUUUUGCGGCCGUGGAGAUUGAUGUGGAGCCAAACUCCAGCAGCUAUGCUUAAUUUGUGUGCUAUUCAUGUGGAAAGCUGGCCUGGCUGUGCAUCCUGGAGAAGAAUUCUGGGCUUGGUUCUGCUCAGGACCCGCUCCUGUUAGCAGCCACUCUCUGCGCUUCUGCCGGAGGAGCAGGGCCUUUGCCCUCACAGCACUGAAUGUGCUGGGGUGAGUUGGCUCAGGGCGUUGAUUGGAUUCUCUGAGGCCUGAGGGCCCACGGGAAUAAACUAGGGAGAAGGGACUUGGGAUGGUCUCA
rnacentral:lncRNA from 1 species